rnacentral:rRNA from 1 species
GACGUAGGGUGCAAGCGUUGUCCGGAUUUACUGGGCGUAAAGAGCUCGUAGGCGGUGUGUCGCGUCGGCCGUGAAAACCUGCAGCUUAACUGUGGGCUUGCGGUCGAUACGGGCAUCACUGGAGUUCGGCAGGGGAGACUGGAAUUCCUGGUGUAGCGGUGAAAUUCGUAGAUAUCGGGAGGAACACCAGUGGCGAAGGCGGCGACCUGGGCCAAUAUUGACGCUGAGGUGCGAAAGCGUGGGGAGCAAACAGG